rnacentral:lncRNA from 7 species
GGGUAUUAAUCGAUUCGGAUCGCCGUUACUUCUCGGAUAUGAAGACUGGAUCACUGCCCUUCAUCGUAGAUAACAAGCGAAACAAAAGUUGGAUUUUAAAAGAAAGCUAGUGUAGGACAAGUGAAUGCUCUAGAUUAGGCAAAUCUAGAUUCAGGAAAAGUACUUAACUUGUGAUGUAAAAUUUUGGCUUAAGGACCCACUUCUAGUAAGCUUUUCUGCAAAAUGAGUCCUUGAACUUUGAUGAGCUUUACCUUGAUUCCCAAAAGCCAGCAUACCCUUGAGAGUCUUUUCUUUAGUCGGGUAAGUCUUGCUGAGUAAUUGCGUACUCAGGGUUUUAUCCCUUGUUGUUUUUGUAGGAGAAGUUUUAUUCCCUUAUCUUCGGGUUAGUUACUUCAUGUGGAUGACUUGAAGCUUAGAAGGUUUAUGUAUAUAUCUUAUGGAAAGGCUUCACCCUUCCAAUUAUUGUAAUAAGUUAUGCACUUCGAGUACUAUCAGGACUUGUAAUAAAUACACCUCUUUCUACCAUGUAAAACUUGAGUUCUGAAAUGUAAAGUGUACUUUGUAAAAGUCUUCCGCUCUAUCUCCAAUGUGUGUGUAUCAAAUGUGAUUACUGUAAUAUACAUGUUAUGUG